rnacentral:tRNA from 1 species
UCCCUGGUAGCUCAAAUGGUAAAGCAUCUGCCUACAAUGCAGGAGACCCGGGUUUGAUCCCUGGGUCGGGAA